rnacentral:rRNA from 1 species
GACGAACGCUGGCGGCGUGCUUAACACAUGCAAGUCGAACGGAAAGGCCCUGCUUUUGUGGGGUGCUCGAGUGGCGAACGGGUGAGUAACACGUGAGUAACCUGCCCUUGACUUUGGGAUAACUUCAGGAAACUGGGGCUAAUACCGGAUAGGAGCUCCUGCUGCAUGGUGGGGGUUGGAAAGUUUCGGCGGUUGGGGAUGGACUCGCGGCUUAUCAGCUUGUUGGUGGGGUAGUGGCUUACCAAGGCUUUGACGGGUAGCCGGCCUGAGAGGGUGACCGGCCACAGUGGGACUGAGAUACGGCCCAGACUCCUACGGGAGGCAGGAGUGGGGAAUAUUGCACAAGGGGCGGAAGCCUGAUGCAGCAACGCCGCGUGCGGGAUGACGGCCUUCGGGUUGUAAACCGCUUUCGCCUGUGACGAAGCGUGAGUGACGGUAAUGGGUAAAGAAGCACCGGCUAACUACGU